AUUGAACGCUGGCGGCAGGCCUAACACAUGCAAGUCGAACGAGUGGCGGACGGGUGAGUAAUGUCUGGGAAACUGCCUGAUGGAGGGGGAUAACUACUGGAAACGGUAGCUAAUACCGCAUACCAUCGGAUGUGCCCAGAUGGGAUUAGCUAGUAGGGGGGGUAAAGGCUCACCUAGGCGACGAUCGCUAGCUGGUCUGAGAGGAGGAACAGCCCCACGGGACCUGAGACACGGUCCAGACUCCUACGGGAGGCAGCAGUGGGGAAUAUUGGACAAUGGGCGCAAGCCGGAUGCGGCCAUGCCGCUGGUAUGAAGAAGGCCUUCGGGUUGUAAAGUACUUUCAGCGGGGAGGCGUUACCCGCAGAAGAAGCACCGGCUAACUCCGUGCCAGCCGCCGCGGUAAUUC
rnacentral:rRNA from 1 species